GGUAACCUACCCUGUACACACGGAUAACAUACCGAAAGGUAUGCUAAUACGGGAUAAUAUAUUUGAGAGGCAUCUCUUAAAUAUCAAAGGUGAGCCAGUACAGGAUGGACCCGCGUCUGAUUAGCUAGUUGGUAAGGUAACGGCUUACCAAGGCGACGAUCAGUAGCCGACCUGAGAGGGUGAUCGGCCGCAUUGGAACUGAGACACGGUCCAAACUCCUACGGGAGGCAGCAGUGGGGAAUAUUGCACAAUGGGCGAAAGCCUGAUGCAGCAACGCCGCGUGAGUGAUGAAGGCCUUCGGGUCGUAAAACUCUGUCCUCAAGGAAGAUAAUGACGGUACUUGAGGAGGAAGCCCCGGCUAACUACGUGCCAGCAGCCGCGGUAAUACGUAGGGGGCUAGCGUUAUCCGGAUUUACUGGGCGUAAAGGGUGCGUAGGCGGUCUUUCAAGUCAGGAGUGAGAGGCUACGGCUCAACCGUAGUAAGCUCUUGAAACUGGGAGACUUGAGUGCAGGAGAGGAGAGUGGAAUUCCUAGUGUAGCGGUGAAAUGCGUAGAUAUUAGGAGGAACACCAGUUGCGAAGGCGGCUCUCUGGACUGUAACUGACGCUGAGGCACGAAAGCGUGGGGAGCAAACAGGAUUAGAUACCCUGGUAGUCCACGCUGUAAAC
rnacentral:rRNA from 1 species